rnacentral:misc_RNA from 1 species
CAGCAGCUCACGCUGGCUCUCCGCGUUGGCCAGGAGUCCCUUGGCCGCGGACAGGAAGGUGGCAUUCGGCGCACUGCCCGACGGGAGCUUGAACCGCCCGGUCAAUUCCGCCCGGUCCCUGGCCGCCACCGACCCCACGGCCACCAGAUACCGGAUGAGCUGGAAGUGCAACACCCGCCGGAGCUCCUUCCGGUGGGCCCGGGCGCCCCGCGCCGCCUCGCGUCCCUUCCGUUCCCUAUUCUCGAUCGCCUCCGCGCGGGUGAGGCUUUCCUCGAUCCGGGCCACAAUCGGCUCGUAUCCAGGCUCGAGCGACAGGUUUGCCCGGCAGAAUUCCCGGACCCGUCGGACCAUCUCCAACACACUGCGUACCUCGGACGUCAUACAACGCUCCUUUCAGGAG